rnacentral:rRNA from 1 species
GACGAACGCUGGCGGCGUGCCUAAUACAUGCAAGUCGAACGCAGUGGGGACGGGUGAGUAACACGUGGGUAACCUCCCAUCAGAGGGGAUAAACCUUGGAAACAGGUGCUAAACCGAUAGUGAUGGAUGGACGCGCGGUGCAUUGACUAGUUGGUGAGGUAACGGCUCACCAAGGCCACGAUGCAUAGCGGUCCUGGGGGGGUUAUCGGCAACACUGAGACUGAGACACGGCCCAGACUCCUAGGGUAGGAAGCAGUAGGGAAUCUUCGGAAAUGGACGAAAGUCUGACCGAGCAACGCCGCGUGGUGAAGAAGGUUUUCGGGUCGUAAAGCUCUUUUGUUAGAGAAGCGGUAUCUAACCAGAAAGCCACGGCUAACUCCGUGCCAGCAGCCGCGGUAAUAC